AUGAAGAAGAUGAGGAUCAAUGGUCAAUGUAAGGCCAAGUGUAAUUGGUGUCACAAGGUACUUACCGCGGGAUCGAGGAACGGAACUAAGCAUCUUCGUUUGCAUCUUGAUGUUUGCACUCUUAAGAAGUUGAAGACCAAGGGAGGUAAAACUUUGAGUCAAUCCUCAUUGAAGGUGAGUGCCGAAGAGGAUGGGAAAGUGAGCAUGGAGAGCUAUACUUUUGCUCAAGAUUAUUCUAAAGCUGAGCUUGGCAACACGUUUGUGUUGCAUGAUUAUCCCUUGUCUAUGGUAGACCAUGUUGGUUUUAGGAGAUUUGUUGCUGCCCUUCAACUGUUAUUCAAGCUCCAUACGAGAAAUACUAUCCGAGGUGAUAUUGUGGAUAGAUACAAAAUAGGAAGGAAGAAGGCCAUCGAGUACAUGAGUACGAUCCAAUCAAGGGUCGUUGUCACCACUGAUAUGUGGACCUCUAACAGCCAAAAGAAGGGAUAUAUGGCUAUCACAGCUCAUUUCAUUAACGAUCAUGGAGGCUAA
rnacentral:rRNA from 1 species